AUUGAACGCUGGCGGCAUGCCUUACACAUGCAAGUCGAGCGGUAACGGGCCUUCGGGUGCCGACGAGUGGCGAACGGGUGAGUAAUGUAUCGGAACGUACCUUUCAGUGGGGGAUAACGUAGCGAAAGUUACGCUAAUACCGCAUAUUCUGUGCGCAGGAAAGCAGGGGAUCGCAAGACCUUGCGCUGAUUGAGCGGCCGAUAUCAGAUUAGCUAGUUGGUGGGGUAAAGGCUCACCAAGGCGACGAUCUGUAGCGGGUCUGAGAGGAUGAUCCGCCACACUGUAACUGAGACACGGUCCAGACUCCUACGGGAGGCAGCAGUGGGGAAUUUUGGACAAUGGGGGCAACCCUGAUCCAGCCAUGCCGCGUGAGUGAAGAAGGCCUUCGGGUUGUAAAGCUCUUUCGGCCGGGAAGAAAUCGUAUCAGCUAAUACCUGGUGCGGAUGACGGUACCGGCAUAAGAAGCACCGGCUAACUACGUGCCAGCCGCCGCCGUAACAC
rnacentral:rRNA from 1 species